GACGUAGGAGGCGAGCGUUGUCCGGAUUCAUUGGGCGUAAAGAGCGCGCAGGCGGCUUGGUAAGUCGGAUGUGAAAACCCGAGGCUCAACCUCGGACGUGCAUCCGAAACUGCCCGGCUAGAGGUAGGUAGGGGAGAUCGGAAUUCCUGGUGUAGCGGUGAAAUGCGCAGAUAUCAGGAGGAACACCGGUGGCGAAGGCGGCUCUCUGGGACGGUACUGACGCUGAGACGCGAAAGCGUGGGGAGCGAACAGG
rnacentral:rRNA from 1 species